UAGGGAAUAUUGGACAAUGGGCGCAAGCCUGAUCCAGCCAUGCCGCGUGAGUGAAGAAGGCCCUCGGGUUGUAAAGCUCUUUUGUCCGGAAAGAAAAGCAUCGGGUUAAUACCCCGGUGUUCUGACGGUACCGGAAGAAUAAGCACCGGCUAACUUCGUGCCAGCAGCCGCGGUAAUACGAAGGGUGCAAGCGUUACUCGGAAUUACUGGGCGUAAAGCGUGCGUAGGUGGUUCGUUAAGUCUGAUGUGAAAGCCCUGGGCUCAACCUGGGAAUGGCAUUGGAAACUGGCGGACUGGAGUGCGGUAGAGGGUAGCGGAAUUCCCGGUGUAGCAGUGAAAUGCGUAGAGAUCGGGAGGAACAUCCGUGGCGAAGGCGGCUACCUGGACCAGCACUGACACUGAGGCACGAAAGCGUGGGGAGCAAAC
rnacentral:rRNA from 1 species